rnacentral:lncRNA from 1 species
GGAGCGGGAGGGUAAGCGGAGGCUGAGGGAGGAGGAUAAGCAGAUGGCUGAUGAGGAUAAGCUGAAGCUGGUGGGUAAGCUGAUUGUGGCUGAGAGUAUUGUACUUGUGGGUACAGAGAUGGUCCAGAGUAUGGUGCUGAGUAGUGAGGUACUUGAGGGGCAUAGGGUGGUGCUAAUUGUGCAGAACCAUAAUUUUGUUUCUGCAUUCAAGGAACGAAGUGUAUGUUUCAGCCGUUUAUUCUUUGUCAAUAAGCGAUCAAACCUGUAGCUUAACGUUGCUUAUUGAGCAUUUAUGUUACCUUUGCGGCUGCAUAAUGCAGUAUGAGCCGUACUUCUCCCGCAUAUCUGCAAGACAUAAAUGUGAAGCAUUUUCAGAAGAGUUAUAAUCAAGUUAACUAAUCUAUUUAUGAGUAUAUGCUUCUUAUGUGUAGGAACAGGACUAUAAGUGUUUUCACAUUUGAUUAUACCAGUAAUGAAAGUUAAUAAUAACUCAAAAUUAACAAAGAAGUGAAAUAACAGCUUGUAUUACAAUUAACACCAAAGAUGACAGGAAACUACACAUAACCUCUCUUACAAGUGAACAAGACCAUGCUUCCAUGUCAACAAAAGAAAUGACAAGAGCUAAAAGUUUCACUUAAGCAGAAAGCAUAGGGCCCACGAGUAUUACGAGGCACACCACAUGAAAGGUUCUAUUGAUAAUUGGCAAGUCCAACACAGACUGCUCUAACACCGAGAUCAUAUAGAACAAACAUGCACCAUGCAAGUAUUGAUUACAAAACAUGAUAUAAUACUCAAUGCAAAAAGAACCAAAAACUAAUGAAAUCAAUGUUGUUACCACACUUACCUCCCAUUUUUACCCUGCAGAGUCCAGGUACAGUCGUCAUAUCCUUCAGAAAGAGCCUUCUGCAAUUUAAUCCUAAUCACAACAAACAUACAUAGAGAAAACAAAAGACUCAGUUCCAGAUCCGAAUCAGGAACUUAAAAGCACACAUGAAAAAUCACAUACGUAGCAUUCCCAAUGAAGUCAUCAGUGGAGAGUGUAUUGCUAUUCCAGACAACUACCUUAAGAUCCCUAAGGCCUUCAAGCAAAGUGAACAUAAACUUCUCUUGGAACACUGCGUUCUUUCCACCAUCUGAAAAAAUAAAUAAAGAAACGCAUCAGAUAUUUAUAGACGAGUAAGCUUUUCAAACCCUUGUAAGCAUUAAAGAGGGCUAAUAGUUAACCUGUGCAAGUUCUGGUACGGUGCCUUGUGCUGCUAUACUCGAGUACAACGUAUGGAUCUUGCCUCGAAAACCAUUCCGUAUCUUUUAGUUUCUGGCAUCCAACAACUGAAACCAAGAAAAUCACAUACGCAAACCUCAGUGAACAUUGAGUUAGAGAAUCAUGAAAAAAAAAAAAAGAACAGAAAAUCGAGGAACAGAGGGGUACGAACCAGUGACCUCGAGAACCUGGCCUUGAAUACCCGCCAUCAUCGACAUGAACUGGAUGGAAGAAGCUAGAUUUGCUUAAGAAAUACAGAGAGAUUAGGGGUUGAAAGAAGAACAAGAGAUUGAAAAAAAUGUAAGGAUGAAGCUUAAUCAAGAGAUGGUCCGUCUUUAAAUAUACGAAUAAUCAAACUUCGGAUUUCCCAGAAGUUGCGGCAGUUACUUUUUGACUUUACAUGGCUUGAGCCUUGAGGUAUACGCGUUUCUUAAAUAGGUACUUGAGGGGCAUAGGGUGGUGCUAAUUGUGCAGAACCAUAAUUUUGUUUCUGCAUUCAAGGAACGAAGUGUAUGUUUCAGCCGUUUAUUCUUUGUCAAUAAGCGAUCAAACCUGUAGCUUAACGUUGCUUAUUGAGCAUUUAUGUUACCUUUGCGGCUGCAUAAUGCAGUAUGAGCCGUACUUCUCCCGCAUAUCUGCAAGACAUAAAUGUGAAGCAUUUUCAGAAGAGUUAUAAUCAAGUUAACUAAUCUAUUUAUGAGUAUAUGCUUCUUAUGUGUAGGAACAGGACUAUAAGUGUUUUCACAUUUGAUUAUACCAGUAAUGAAAGUUAAUAAUAACUCAAAAUUAACAAAGAAGUGAAAUAACAGCUUGUAUUACAAUUAACACCAAAGAUGACAGGAAACUACACAUAACCUCUCUUACAAGUGAACAAGACCAUGCUUCCAUGUCAACAAAAGAAAUGACAAGAGCUAAAAGUUUCACUUAAGCAGAAAGCAUAGGGCCCACGAGUAUUACGAGGCACACCACAUGAAAGGUUCUAUUGAUAAUUGGCAAGUCCAACACAGACUGCUCUAACACCGAGAUCAUAUAGAACAAACAUGCACCAUGCAAGUAUUGAUUACAAAACAUGAUAUAAUACUCAAUGCAAAAAGAACCAAAAACUAAUGAAAUCAAUGUUGUUACCACACUUACCUCCCAUUUUUACCCUGCAGAGUCCAGGUACAGUCGUCAUAUCCUUCAGAAAGAGCCUUCUGCAAUUUAAUCCUAAUCACAACAAACAUACAUAGAGAAAACAAAAGACUCAGUU